UAAAAAUUUAAAAAAACCAAGCCAGUGUGGUUGCAGACUGUGCAGGAAGGUUAUUGAGCCAUGCUGGAAACAUAGUCAUUUGAUACGGGUGGAAAGAUAACCUGGAUCCCAACCUUUGAGAAUUCUUGCCUUAUUUUAUGACUCUGGGUGUUUUGCCUGCAUAUGUUUGUGUACCACACACAUGCUUGGUGCCCAGGGAAGCUGGAGAAUUUGGGUUCCUUGGAGCAAGAGCUACAGUUGUGAGUCACCCAAUAUGGGUGCUAGGAGCGAAUCUGGUUCCUUGGUGACCAGUAUGUGUUCUUGGAUAGAUGCUGAGCCAUCUAUCCAACCUCUCAAGUUUUGAUACCUUAGAAAACAAACACUGAAGUGUGAUGAGACAAAAAUAGAUGUGUAGGAGACAAAAAAAAUGCAAGAAACUAACAGGGCAUGUGACUCGGUAGAUAAAAUGCUUGACUAACGUGGACAAAGGCCUGGAUUUGAUCCUCAGAGCCACAUAAACCCAGCUUGGUGAUAUACACCUGGGUCCCAGCAGUUGAGAGGUAGAGGCAAGAGGCUCAGUAGUUCAAAGUCAUCUUCUAAUACGUAGCUAGCUCACAUCUACUCUGGGUUAUAUGCGAGUGUGUCUCAAAAAUAAAAUAAAGGAAGAAUCAAACUAUUAAAUGUGUUUAAAUUGGACACAUGAGGCACAAUGGCGCAUACCUGUAGACUUAGAACGAGAAGGCUGAAGUAGACAGAUCUUGGGUUCAAGGUAAGCCUGAGAUAGAUAGUGAGUCUUGGUCAAUAAAACAAUCUCAGACAAAACAUCAGACCUCAAUACCUCAGAAUGUGUUUUUUCUCGAAUAUAGGGUCUUUACAGUGAUAAUCAAGUCAAAAUGAGGUCAUUGGGAUGAAUCCUAACUCAAUAUGACCCAUGUGUUUAUAAAAUGCUGACAUUUGGCUACAAAAGCAGACACUGAAAUAGAAGAUGACUGUGUUAUUAGAGAAGUAUGCAUAAACCCAAGGCCAGCAGGAGUCCAGUGAGCACAUGACCCACUGGAGACAGAAGAAUGCCCCCACAAUGACCUUCAGAGGAACAGGUCUCUGUCAACAGCUUCAUACUCCAGCCUCCAGCCCUGUCGUUUUAAACCACCUGAUGCCUACUUAGUCAAGGUAGCCAUCGGGCUCCAAUGCACAAGGGAGCAGGAGCACCCAAGGUAUGAUCUGGUCGUAUAGACUUCAAGCUUGCACACACUACAUAAACUAUGAUCUGGUCGUAUAGACUUCAAGCUUGCACACAUUACAUAAGGUAUGAUCUGGUCGUAUAGACUUCAAGCUUGCACACAUUAAAUAUGACUGGAAAAGAACAUUUUAUCUAUCUAUCUAUCUAUCUAUCUAUCUAUCUAUCUAUCUAUCUAUCUAUCUAUCUAUUUUUUAUUUAUUUUGGUUUUUCGAGACAGUGUUUCUCUGAGUAGCUCUGGCUGUCCUGGAACUCACUCUGUAGACCAGGCUGGCCUCGAACUCAGAAAUCCGCCUGCCUCUGCAUCCCAAGUGCUGGGAUUAAAGGCGUGCGCCACCACGGCAAAGGACAUUUUAUAAGGGCAAGGAAGAAUUUGAGGAAAAUGUAAUGGUUUGGAGGUUAUAAAACAGUGAAGUAUGUAUGAAGGAGGAAUAGAGUCAGAAGACUGUGGUAAAACUACUUCCAGUUAGGAAAAGGAAACCUCUUGUCUUUCAGAAUCUGGCAGCUUGUAUUGUCAAACAGUAGAUGAGGGAAGAAGA
rnacentral:lncRNA from 1 species